rnacentral:piRNA from 1 species
UGGGACUAAAGGAGUGUGUAACCACACUCAGCAA